rnacentral:rRNA from 1 species
UGCUUACACAUGCAGUCGAACGAUGAAGCCCAGCUUGCUGGGUGGAUUAGUGGCGAACGGGUGAGUAACACGUGAGUAACCUGCCCUUAACUCUGGGAUAAGCCUGGGAAACUGGGUCUAAUACCGGAUAGGAGCGUCCACCGCAUGGUGGGUGUUGGAAAGAUUUAUCGGUUUUGGAUGGACUCGCGGCCUAUCAGCUUGUUGGUGAGGUAAUGGCUCACCAAGGCGACGACGGGUAGCCGGCCUGAGAGGGUGACCGGCCACACUGGGACUGAGACACGGCCCAGACUCCUACGGGAGGCAGCAGUGGGGAAUAUUGCACAAUGGGCGCAAGCCUGAUGCAGCGACGCCGCGUGAGGGAUGACGGCCUUCGGGUUGUAAACCUCUUUCAGUAGGGAAGAAGCGAAAGUGACGGUACCUGCAGAAGAAGCACCGGCUAACUACGUGCCAGCAGCCGCGGUAAUACGUAGGGUGCGAGCGUUAUCCGGAAUUAUUGGGCGUAAAGAGCUCGUAGGCGGUUUGUCGCGUCUGUCGUGAAAGUCCGGGGCUUAACCCCGGAUCUGCGGUGGGUACGGGCAGACUAGAGUGCAGUAGGGGAGACUGGAAUUCCUGGUGUAGCGGUGGAAUGCGCAGAUAUCAGGAGGAACACCGAUGGCGAAGGCAGGUCUCUGGGCUGUAACUGACGCUGAGGAGCGAAAGCAUGGGGAGCGAACAGGAUUAGAUACCCUGGUAGUCCAUGCCGUAAACGUUGGGCACUAGGUGUGGGGACCAUUCCACGGUUUCCGCGCCGCAGCUAACGCAUUAAGUGCCCCGCCCUGGGGAGUACGGCCGCAAGGCUAAAACUCAAAGGAAUUGACGGGGGCCCGCACAAGCGGCGGAGCAUGCGGAUUAAUUCGAUGCAACGCGAAGAACCUUACCAAGGCUUGACAUGUUCUCGAUCGCCGUAGAGAUACGGUUUCCUCUUUGGGGCGGGUUCACAGGUGGGUGCAUGGUUGUCGUCAGCUCGUG